rnacentral:sRNA from 1 species
GAACACAAAAUGGCGACACGUGGUUAGCAUUCGUCGCCAACGAGAAAUUGGGGUCGGCCCGAAAGCUCUAGAAUGCACCCCUCUUCCUCCCCGGGGCCUUCCACCUCCGCGAGUUUUAUGACUUAAAAAAGCCCACAGGCUGGUCUGAAGGAAGACAAACAUAAAGAUGAAGUGCUUAAUUCAAGGUCACACAAUGUCGGGGAUGGACCUCCAGAUUUCCUUACUGACCUGCAUUAUCUUGUGGAUACCUGAGUGAAUUCCACACCACCCAUUUUAUAGAUGAAACCACUGAGACAUGGAGCAAUUGACUGAGUAGUCACUGCCCCACCCCUGCCUGGAGCCUCACACAUGACUCGCCUCCUCUCAGUGACCACAGGUGAGACGUGGUCUUGUAACACAGUGGUUAAGAAUGUGACUUUGGAGCCAGCCUGCUAGGGGCUGAAUUCUGACUCAGCCAUUUACUAACUGUGUGACCUUAGGGAGGAGGACCUGGUUGAUAGAAGAAUUUAUCUCGUAGUCUUAACAUCCACUGUAAUUCCAAACUUUGAGGACGAUAGAGAUCAGUGGGCUUUGACUGCCCAGCAUGCAGUCUCCAUUCUUAGGUGGGUUCCCAAGCCUGUAAAAUGUAAGCCUUAUGCUGCUGAGGGCCAUCUUGCCACCCUGAGGGAAACGCUGCCUGAGAAUGAAACAAGCAUAAGUAAAAGCUGAGCUGUGAGAUGGAGCAAGAUGAAGGCCACAUGACAUCUUUGGAGCACCUGGAUCUAACUGUGCCUUAAGCUAGUCUAACCCUGAACAUUUCAUCAUUUCAUUGACAUGAGCCCAGGUUUUCUUUUUUUUUGGAUGGAGUCUUGCUCUGUCGCCCAGGCUGGAGUGCAGUAGCUCAAUCUCGGCUCACUGCAAGCUCCACCUCCCGGGUUCACGCCAUUCUCCUGCCUUAGCCUCCCAAGUAGCUGGGACAACAGGCGCCCACCACCACUCCCAGCUAAUUUUUUGUAUUUUUAGUAGAGACGGGGUUUUACCAUGUUAGCCGGGAUGGUCUUGAUCUCCUGACCUCAUGAUCCGCCCGCCUCGGCCUCCCAAAGUGCUGGGAUUACAGGUGUGAGCCACUGCACCCAGCCCUCAGGUUUUCCCUUUUUUUACCCCUCCUUUUGAAAAUUUGAUGUGGAAUUUUGCCACCUGCAGCCAGAAGAGUUUUAACUAAUCAGUGCCAUAAAUUUUAUAUAGUUCUCCUUGCAAAAUGUGGAUCAGCCUUUCUCAGCAAAUCCUUUGUCAUAAAGUGCUGAAUUGUAAGUUUGUCAUGAGAAUCACAUGAGAUCAUGCAUGUGAAGAACCUGGCAUUAUCCUCCUCAUAGAAAAAAACCAGUAAAUAUUAACUACAGGAAGCAAGGAAGGAGUGGGGUGAGGGGAAGAAGAAGGGGUACUGAUUUAAAAGAACCCUGGAGUCCUAAGGAUAAUCUAGGAACCCUCAGACCCAAUCCGAUACCCCUAUUCUAAAUGCUCCUAGUGCCCUGUACCUUCCCCUCAUAAGCCUUCAUUAUCAUUGUAAUGAUAUGUUUAUGUAAUAUUUUGAUUAAUGUCUCUCCUUCACUGACCUAGCAGUUCUAGCAGGGCAGUGAUUUUGCUGUGUUGCAUCCCCAGCACCUAGUCUGGUAUGUGGCAUUCAGCAUAUGUUUAUUGAAUGAAUGGCCAUGUGGUUAUUCAGAUCCUCCUUGAUUAUUGGGGUUAGGAUUGUGGCAGAAGUGGCAAAAUCAGGGAGAGUAGUCCCUGUCCCCUCUGUAUCUUAUACACUGCCCACACUCCCAACACACAUACACAUACAGAGAAUUUUGUCUCAAUUAGAUAAUUAACUUCUGCUUGGUUGUAAACCAAACCACUGGUUCUUAAACUUUCAUUGGAUCAUUUUAUUGAAGAAUUAAAUAGUGUGGUUCUGGCCUAAUGUCUGGAAAGCCUUGCAGAGGAGUGGAUUAGGUCUUUGUGAUAAACAGGCAGCCUUCCCUGCUCCUGUGUCUUUAUAAAAUCUAUUUAACUGGAGUAGUCCACCCUCCCUCAGGCUCUUACAGGAAUAUGUUGGAGGCUGUAGGAAGGUGGGAAACCGAGAGGGAAAGGACUGGGCCGCUGGAGACUUCACUCAUUCCCUAGCAAGAAACAAAAGCAGUAAAAGGUGGCCCGAGGACAACCUGAAGCUCACUCCUUCAGCACUUUUGGCUGGAGGUCACUUGUUGGAGCCCCACUCAGAGCUCAGCACACCACCCCACCAGCAGCCUCCUCCUCCCAGCUGAGGCUGCAUUUCAUCCCUUCCCCCAGCCUGCUUUCCCUGAGAUAGGGGAGUGUUUCCCAGGGCCCAUGUGACUUCCACUGGCAAGUGACGAUUACCAAUGGUUUACUAGUCAGUGAAACUACCAAAGGCUUUUGUGCUGUAGUAAUCCUUUUCCUGUUUAAAACUCUGGGGAUUUUCUAAUGUUGCCAAUAGUUUUUCAAGUCAGCAAUUACUGUGUGGAUUAUGUAAUGGCUCGGUAUUA